rnacentral:ncRNA from 1 species
CCGGACACCUUGGACGGGCCGCACCGGACAAAGCGACCCGACCCCACGCACAA